GUGGGGAAUUUUGGACAAUGGGCGCAAGCCUGAUCCAGCAAUGCCGCGUGCAGGAAGAAGGCCUUCGGGUUGUAAACUGCUUUUGUACGGAACGAAACGGCUCUGGUUAAUACCCGGGGCUAAUGACGGUACCGUAAGAAUAAGCACCGGCUAACUACGUGCCAGCAGCCGCGGUAAUACGUAGGGUGCAAGCGGUAAUCGGAAUUACUGGGCGUAAAGCGUGCGCAGGCGGGUUUGUAAGACAGGCGUGAAAUCCCCGGGCGCAACCUGGGAAUGGCGCUUGUGACUGCAAAGCUGGAUCGCGGCAGAGGGGGAUGGAAUUCCGAGUGUAGCAGUGAAAUGCGUAGAUAUGCGGAGGAACACCGAUGGCGAAGGCAAUCCCCUGGGCCUGCACUGACGCUCAUGCACGAAAGCGUGGGGAGCAAACAGGAUUAGAAACCCCGGUAGUCC
rnacentral:rRNA from 1 species